rnacentral:rRNA from 1 species
UACAGAGGAUGCAAGCGUUAUCCGGAAUGAUUGGGCGUAAAGCGUCUGUAGGUGGCUUUUUAAGUCCGCCGUCAAAUCCCAGGGCUCAACUCUGGACAGGCGGUGGAAACUACCGAGCUGGAGGACGGUAGGGGCAGAGGGAAUUUCCGGUGGAGCGGUGAAAUGCGUAGAGAUCGGGAAGAACACCAACGGCGAAAGCACUCUGCUGGGCCGACACUGACGCUGAGAGACGAAAGCUAGGGGAGCGAAUGGG